GAUUAACGCUAGCGGCAGGCCUAAUACAUGCAAGUCGAACGGUAACAGGUGUAGCAAUACAUGCUGACGAGUGGCGCACGGGUGCGUAACGCGUAUGCAACCUACCUAUAACUGGGGGAUAGCUCAGAGAAAUCUGAAUUAAUACCGCAUAAUAUUAUUGGGAGACAUCUCCCGAUUAUCAAAACUCCGGUGGUUAUAGAUGGGCAUGCGUGACAUAGCUAGUUGGUGAGGUAACGGCUCACCAAGGCUACGAUGUCUAGGGGGUCUGAGAGGAUGAUCCCCCACACUGGUACUGAGACACGGACCAGACUCCUACGGGAGGCAGCAGUAAGGAAUAUUGGACAAUGGGGCAACCUGAUCCAGCCAUGCCGCGUGAAGGAUGAAGGCCCUCUGGGUCGUAAACUUCUUUUAUACGGAAUAAACCCUUCUAUUCUUAGAAGGCUGAAUGUAACCGUAAGAAU
rnacentral:rRNA from 1 species